GGACUGUGGUGGAGUUGGGCACAUCCAGAGGUUUUGCCCACUGCGACGCAGGUCUACUUCGGGUUUUUAGCGCCCCCUGCCACAGAGGGGCAUGUGGCAGGGACUGUCGCCCAUUCUGCUGGAGUGACCACCAAGUCCCAGAUUGUUGGAGAAUGCCCACGGGUAGAAGUGGAAGCUAAUGGAAAAAAGAUCCCAUGCGUCCUGGACACUGGCUCUCAGGUCACCCUGAACCCUGAGACGCACCAACCCGGCUGGACUGCACACCAUUCCCCGAACGCCUGCCACAAACCCCCUGAGGAGCAAACCUGUGCCGAACCACCUCCUCUUCCCAGCUAGCUCCCCCUUUUUACUCCCUCCUUUCACUUUAGCUACACACACGUUAGGGCCCAUACUUAACUUUAAAUAAAGAAACCAUUUGGAUUUUGA